rnacentral:rRNA from 1 species
GACGAACGCUGGCGGCGUGCUUAACACAUGCAAGUCGAACGGAAAGGCCCUGCUUGCAGGGUACUCGAGUGGCGAACGGGUGAGUAACACGUGGGUGAUCUGCCCUGCACUUCGGGAUAAGCCUGGGAAGCUGGGUCUAAUACCGGAUAGUAGCCAUUUUUAGUGUGAUGGUUGGAAAGCUUUUUCGGUGUAGGAUGAGCUCGCGGCCUAUCAGCUUGUUGGUGGGGUAAUGGCCUACCAAGGCGGCGACGGGUAGCCGGCCUGAGAGGGUGGACGGCCACAUUGGGACUGAGAUACGGCCCAGACUCCUACGGGAGGCAGCAGUGGGGAAUAUUGCACAAUGGGCGCAAGCCUGAUGCAGCGACGCCGCGUGGGGGAUGACGGCCUUCGGGUUGUAAACUCCUUUCGCUAGGGACGAAGCUUUUUGUGACGGUACCUAGAUAAGAAGCACCGGCUAACUACGUG